GGGUGGUUAGCUCAGAGGUAGAGCAAUGCUAUUACACGGCAUAGGUCAAGAGUUCAAUUCUCUUAUCCCCA
rnacentral:tRNA from 1 species